rnacentral:rRNA from 1 species
ACGCACGCUGGCGGCGUGCUUAACACAUGCAAGUCGAACGGAAAGGCCCUGCUUUUGUGGGGUGCUCGAGUGGCGAACGGGUGAGUAACACGUGAGUAACCUGCCCUUGACUUUGGGAUAACUUCAGGAAACUGGGGCUAAUACCGGAUAGGAGCUCCUGCUGCAUGGUGGGGGUUGGAAAGUUUCGGCGGUUGGGGAUGGACUCGCGGCUUAUCAGCUUGUUGGUGGGGUAGUGGCUUACCAAGGCUUUGACGGGUAGCCGGCCUGAGAGGGUGACCGGCCACAUUGGGACUGAGAUACGGCCCAGACUCCUACGGGAGGCAGCAGUGGGGAAUAUUGCACAAUGGGCGGAAGCCUGAUGCAGCAACGCCGCGUGCGGGAUGACGGCCUCCGGGUUGUAAACCGCUUUCGCCUGUGACGAAGCGUGAGUGACGGUAAUGGGUAAAGAAGCACCGGCUAACUACGUG